UUCCCGCAGUUUAAGUUGUUUAUUACUUGAGCCAUACUGGUUCAGUUUGUCUUAGUUACAUGGAGAUGCAUAUAUUCCCAUAAGAAUUUUCAUGUUUAUAUUAUUAAAUAUUUACGUGCUUUGUUGUGAUGUUAUAACUUUAAUUAUAUUUGCCUGUGUAUCAAUGCGAUAGGUUCAAGAAACUCUAUGCUGUUCUCUGGCAGACAUAAACUAGCAUUUAUUCUUGGAACCAUUAUAUGCUGUGUGUUUUGGUUUGAGACUGGUAAAAGUGUAUAACAUGGGCGUUUAAAUGAACCAAACAGGGAACAUGCCUCUGCGUCUUCAAUAGGUCUGUUCUUAUGUCGUUUGAUCAUCUAUUUGAUUCCUAUCCAUGCUUUACCAUUGAUAUUUGGGUAAUUAUGUUGUUAAGAGUUCUAAGAAUACCCUAAUUUUUUUUUUUACUUGUCAAAAAAAAAAAAAGGAUACCCUAAUUUUAUUAAUUUUUUUAUCCUUGGAGAGAGAGUUAUCAUACAGGCAAUGGUGAAGAUAUUGAGAGGGACGAGCCGAAAGUGUAACCCUGAAAUAAUAUUGACUCCCUGCUAACUCUAUUGUCUGCAUGGGAUAUGUAGUAUUGUAAUGCGAAUUAUCAUUAGAGGGAUUUAUUAGUGCGAGGAAAAGACUCCAUAAUAUCAAUUUAUAUAUGAGCUUUUUUCUCCCAGAUAGUCUUCUUAUAGCA